rnacentral:rRNA from 1 species
GGAGGUUGGCUUAGAAGCAGCCAUCCUUGAAAGAGUGCGUAAUAGCUCACUGGUCAAGUGAUCGUGCGCCGACAAUGUAGCGGGGCUCAAGCACACCGCCGAAGCCGCGGACCCAUGACGUUGUUCCCUUCACCGUCCGGCUUGUCCGGGUGGUGGCAGGGGUUGUGGGUGGUAGGGGAGCGUCCUGCACCGGGGGAAGCCUGUGGGUGACUGCUGGUGGACGGUGCGGGAGUGAGAAUGCAGGCAUGAGUAGCGAUACUAGGGUGAGAAGCCCUAGCGCCGAAUGACCAAGGGUUCCAGGGCCAGGCUAGUCCGCCCUGGGUGAGUCGGGACCUAAGGCGAGGCCGACAGGCGUAGUCGAUGGAUGACGGGUUGAUAUUCCCGUACCGGCGAAGCACCGCCCAUGCUGACGCGCGGGUGCUAACCCACGCCCAGCCACCAAGUUCAGCCGCGCCUACUCCUUUCGGGGGGUGGUGUGGUUGUGGUGGUGGGGUCUGGGGACCCUCCGUGCAGGUAGGCAAGCGUGUUAACAGGGGUGACGCACAGUGGUAGCCCGGCGGACCUGAUGGCUUGGUCCGUUCAAGCGCGCAGCCCGUCCUCCAGGCAAAUCCGGAGUGACUGCCUCCUUGAGGGGUGAGGGUGAGGCGUGAUGGUGACCCCACGCUGGUGGGGGAUAACAGGGUGAUCCUGGGGUGCCGAGAAAAGCCUCGACGCGAUGGUGCCAGCCGCCCGUACCCUAAACCGACACAGGUGGUCGGGCAGAGUAUGCCUAGGCGCACGAGUGAAUCAUGGUUAAGGAACUCGGCAAAAUGCCCCCGUAACUUCGGGAGAAGGGGGGCCCGAACCCUGAAGCCCCUUUUGCGGGCUAGGGGGGUGGGUCGCAGAGGCCAGGGGGAAGCGACUGUUUACUAAAAACACAGGUCCGUGCGAAGCCGUAAGGCGAUGUAUACGGACUGACGCCUGCCCGGUGCUGGAAGGUUAAGAGGAACCAUCAACCCUCUCGGGGGUGAAGUGGUGAAUUUAAGCCCCAGUAAACGGCGGUGGUAACUAUAACCAUCCUAAGGUAGCGAAAUUCCUUGUCGGGUAAGUUCCGACCUGCACGAAUGGCGUAACGACUUCCCCGCUGUCUCAACCAUGAGCUCGGCGAAAUUGCAGUACGAGUAAAGAUGCUCGUUUCGCGCAGAAGGACGGAAAGACCCCGGGACCUUUACUACAGCUUGGUAUUGGCGCCCGCUAUAGCUUGUGCAGGAUAGGUGGGAGACUGUGAAGCCGUUACGCCAGUGGCGGUGGAGUCGUCCUUGAAAUACCACUCUGGUUAUGGCGUGCGCCUGAACCUGGGCCCGUGAUCCGGGUUAGGGACAGUGCCUGGUGGGUAGUUUAACUGGGGCGGUUGCCUCCUAAAGUGUAACGGAGGCGCUCAAAGGUUCCCUCAGCCUGGUCGGCAACCAGGUGUUGAGUGCAAGUGCACAAGGGAGCUUGACUGUGAGACCGACGGGUCGAGCAGGUACGAAAGUAGGAACUAGUGAUCCGGCGAUCCCGUGUGGGUGGGUCGUCGCUCAACGGAUAAAAGGUACCCCGGGGAUAACAGGCUGAUCCUGCCCAAGAGUCCAUAUCGACGGCAUGGUUUGGCACCUCGAUGUCGGCUCGUCGCAUCCUGGGGCUGGAGCAGGUCCCAAGGGUUGGGCUGUUCGCCCAUUAAAGCGGUACGCGAGCUGGGUUUAGAACGUCGUGAGACAGUUCGGUCCCUAUCCUCUGCGCGCGCAGGAGACUUGAGAAGGCCUGUCCCUAGUACGAGAGGACCGGGACGGACGAACCUCUGGUGUGCCAGUUGUCCCGCCCGGGGCACGGCUGGUUGGCUACGUUCGGGAAGGGUAACCGCUGAAAGCAUCUAAGCGGGAAACCAUCUUCAAGAUAAGGUCUCCACAAGAAGGACUUGUCCUUCUUGGUAGGCCCCCAGCAGACUACUGGGUUGAUAGGCCAGAAGUGGAAGACCGGCAA